GAGCGCCCGGGCCCGGGCGGCGGGGCGUGCGAACCGCGGGGCGGAGAGCCGAGCUCGGGGCCGGUGCGGCGCGAGCUCAAGCAGUUCCUGGGCUGGCUCAAGAAGCACGCGUACUGCUCCAACCUCAGCUUCCGCCUCUACGACCAGUGGCGAGCCUGGAUGCAGAAGUCGCACAAGACCCGCAACCAGGGGAAGGCUUCAACCCAAUUCGUGAAGGUAUCAACACAGGCUAGUUUAGCGGCGGAAGGACUCGUCAGUAUCUCCUGAUGGAAUAAGUACCCUUUGGCAUCAUCUUGCUAGAUCCAUCUUCCCUGAAGGCGGUCCCACCCUCUUCCACGGCAGCCAGGUCCUGAUCUGCACAGGCUGCUCCUGCUGCCAGCCUGGAUGGGAAGCCAUCCCCUACAACACACAUGCCUUCCUGUCGCAGCCUCUCUCCUCUCUAACUCCAAGCUGGAGCACCCAACACUCUUAGCUUCCUUCUCAAUUACACCAAAACUCUCCAGACCCCACUUCUUGCCUUGACCCCAAACCACGAACAUCACUUAGUAUCUACCAACCACCUGCCAAGCAUUGUUCACAUAUAAAAGUUGACUUAAAAAGACAAAGAAUCGACCGGGCGCAGGGGCUCAUGCCUGUAAUCCCAGCACUUUGGAAGGCCGAGGCAGACGGAUCAUUUGAGGUCAAGAGUUCAAGAUGAGCCUGGCUAACAUGGUGAAACUCCGUCUCUACUAAAACUACAAAAAUCAACUGGGCGUGGUGGCAGGCGCCUAUAAUCCCAGCUACUCGGGAGGCUGAGGCAGAAGAAUCGCUCGAGCCCGGGAGGUGGAGAUUGCAGUGAGCCGAGACCGCACCACUGAACUCCAGCUUAGGCGACAGAGCAAGACUCCAUCUGAAAAAAAUACAAAUAGUCUAAAGAAAAGUCUAAAAAGCAGACACUACCACCAGCUCCUCCUUACAGACGUAGUAAUGGAGCCAGGUAUGAAGACUCAGCUCGAGAAAUUUAGUAUUUCCAAAGCGACUGACGCAGUGACUGGCAGAGUUAACGCUACACGCUCAAUACCCCUCUCUCAUUAACUCGGAUCUGCCCCGAGGACCUCUUCCCGCCCGAGGCCUCGUGGGGUCACGCUGGCAGGCAGAGCAGGCAGGCUCCUCUCCAAAACGGCGCUCGCCUCCUGGGCCCCGGUCUGGGCUCCGAGCCGUGGCCUCGCGAGCCCUGCCCAGCCACCCUGCCGAGACUGGCCCGCAUGAGCCAGCUCAGGGCCGCCUCUUCUGCCGCCCAGGCCCCUGCAGCCUCCCGCAGCCCCCAACCCGCUCUCGGCCCGGCGCGAACCCGCACGACCGCCGCCACCAACCAGCUCGGCCGCCUCGCUGAAGAAAAAGAAGAUAGCGGAACCGGAAACCACCUAAUCGCCGCCGAAAGCGCUUGCGCACGGAGCACGCCGGACGCCUGCGUCACAAUUCGCGCCGCGCCUUGGGCCCCGCCCUGCCGCCAUCUUGGAUGCUGGCGAACGAAGCCGCAGCGCACGUGGGUGAAGGUCGCCCACCCGCUUCCGGUUGUGGGCCCCGCCCGCCGAGUCACUUGAGACGAUUGCACCUCUCCCCGUGUUUGCGUCCGCUGCCUCUAGGCCACUGACAACCGCUGGCGGUUGGCGGGCCCUCAGCGAAUAGCUGAACGGAGUAGAGGAGAAUGUUUUCUAAUAA
rnacentral:lncRNA from 1 species